rnacentral:rRNA from 1 species
GAUGAACGCUAGCGGGAGGCUUAACACAUGCAAGUCGAGGGGGAUUAGUUUUGUAGCAAUACGAGACUAUGAGACCGGCAAACGGGUGAGGAACACGUACACAACCUUCCUUUAAGUGGGGCAUAGCCCAGGGAAACUUGGAUUAAUACCCCCGUAACAUUAUGAAGUGGCAUCACUUUAUAAUUAUAGCUCCGGCGCUUAAUGAUGGGUGUGCGUCUGAUUAGGUAGUUGGCGGAGUAACAGCCCACCAAGCCUACGAUCAGUAACUGGUGUGAGAGCACGACCAGUCACACGGGCACUGAGACACGGGCCCGACUCCUACGGGAGGCAGCAGUAAGAUAUUGGGCAAUGGACGCAAGUCUGACCCAGCCAUGCCGCGUGGAGGAUGAAGGUCCUCUGGAUUGUAAACUUCUUUUAUUUGGAAGGAAAUUCUCGGCAUUUCCUGCGGGGAUUGACGGGUACCCAGGAUGAAUAAGCACCGGCUAACUCCGUGCCAGCAGCCGAC